rnacentral:tRNA from 1 species
UAGAUCUUAAGUUAAUUGAAACUGUUACCCUUCAAAGGUAAAAUUGGCAUGGGCCAGAUUUAU